AAGAAUAUCAAGGUGUCCAAAGAUCUUAUUCUUUCUCAUUCUAUUAUUAAGAAUUUGACAUUCCGGUGUUUAAUUCGUAAGGUCAAAUUAUUAAUUAAGAUUACGAAAAAUAUACAAUUAAUAUAUUUGCUUCGUUAAUUAAUAGCAGAUAAUGCUAUCAGAAAUUUCAACAUCUUUAUAGAAAAGUUGGAUAAGAUACUAAUGAUCAAAUAGUAAUAAACAAAACAGCUAGCUAAUAUACCUUUUUCUUUUCAACAAUAAUGAAGAAUUUGUUUUUAGGUAAAUUGGAAGAGCUUAACUUAGAGAGAGAGAGAAAUUUCAGGUUAGAGGGAGAGAGAGAGUUGAGAUUAAAAACCGAGCUUUUAGGUUAGAGAUAUAAAGAGAUAAAAAGAGAGGAAGAACUUAGCUUAAAGAGAGAGAUUUAAGGUUAGAGGGAGCGACAGAGUUGAGAUUUUAAAAAGAGAGAGAGAGAGAGAGAGAGAGAGAGAGAGUUACCUGGUCGUU
rnacentral:lncRNA from 1 species